UUGUAGUCUGCAACCCGACUACAUGAAGCUGGAAUCGCUAGUAAUCGCGGAUCAGAAUGCCGCGGUGAAUACGUUCCCGGGUCUUGUACACACCGCCCGUCACACCAUGAGAGUCGGAAAUGCCCGAAGUCUGUGACCUAACCGAGAGGGAGGAGCAGCCGAAGGCAGGUCUGAUGACUGGGGUGAAGUCGUAACAAGGUAAC
rnacentral:rRNA from 1 species